CAUCGGCCUGUAACAUCUGCAACCAGGAUGCCUUCUUUCUACCUGAGAACCCUGGCUUCUAAUGGGAAAGGAAGUUGGAUGGAGCUCAUCUGGUAACAUGCCUUUGGAAAGGACAUAGAAGAGGCUCAAGACUCAAUCCGAAGAACAGGAAAACCUCAUGAAAUUAACAGAAGAUUUAGAGAAGAAGUCACCUUCGUAAAGUGCUGGAUCUCAAGGGAACACAGUUUGGAAUAGCUGUCGGUGAAGCAGGACAGCAAAUACAGUUGGGAUGCUGUUUCUCAAAACUGAGGCUUCUGUUCUCAUCAGUAACUGCAUACCUGGACCGAAAGCUCCUUCCUCAAGCCUGAAAAUGCGUUUUUCUUACCAGACAAAAAUACAAAAAGGGGAGAGGGGUGAACCUGAAAAUGUUCCUUCACAACUAACUAGCAACUUGGAACUCUCACAGAACGGAGCAAUCGCAGUCCGUGGACAGCAUUUACCUUUGGGAACAGAAACUUAAUUUGUCAAUUCACUGGCGGCAACUCAAACUUGGGAAAUAAUAUGAGUUUGGAGAUUCAUAUUUUAUUUACAAGUAAAUGAAGAAUGUCUCCUGUGAACGCUAAUUUGGAACAAGAACAACAUAAAGAAGUAGUUGCUGGCUCCACAGUGACGUGUGAAAGGAGUCCUUGUUAUUGGUUUUUCUUAAACAAUGAUUUUGUCAUUAAAAAGGAAAAAAAACAACAAAGCCACGUGAUUUCUUCAUGUUGCACAUGCGAAAGAAUUCAAAAUAAAAAUGACUUUCCAAACUC